GGCUCAGAUUGAACGCUGGCGGAAUGCUUUACACAUGCAAGUCGAACGGCAGCACGGGAGCAAUCCUGGUGGCGAGUGGCGAACGGGUGAGUAAUAUAUCGGAACGUGCCCAGUCGUGGGGAUAACGUAGCGAAAGUUACGCUAAUACCGCAUACGAUCUAAGGAUGAAAGCGGGGGAUCGCAAGACCUCGCGCGAUUGGAGCGGCCGAUAUCAGAUUAGGUAGUUGGUGAGGUAAAGGCUCACCAAGCCAACGAUCUGUAGCUGGUCUGAGAGGACGACCAGCCACACUGGAACUGAGACACGGUCCAGACUCCUACGGGAGGCAGCAGUGGGGAAUUUUGGACAAUGGACGCAAGUCUGAUCCAGCCAUUCCGCGUGCAGGAUGAAGGCCCUCGGGUUGUAAACUGCUUUGUACGGAACGAAAAGGUUUCUAUUAAUACUAGGAGCUCAUGACGGUACCGUAAGAAUAAGCACCGGCUAACUACGUG
rnacentral:rRNA from 1 species